ensembl:lncRNA
AAGGAAACUUGGAAUGACUUUUCAUAGGUUUCCCAGAGACUAUGGGUUGAGGAGGAAUUGGAAGUUUGUCAGCUUAGACCUGGUGUCAUUCCAUCAGUGUUAAACUUCCUGGCUCAUCUUGGAAGAGUAUGUGCCAGAAAGACCACGACCAAGCAGCCUUGAGAUCUUAGGCAGCGUCUCCCUGAGGUCCCUCUCGAUCUCCCCACACAUCCACCAACCACUGGAACACAUCUCCAAAGUUCUGCCGGGCCAGCUCAGCUUCCCCUCAGAAGAAGCGCCGCCACCUGCCAGAUGAAGGAGCCUUUUGAGAGGCAGCUGGC